CUGUGGAUCAGGAAGGCGAGCUCUCUCAGUCCAGUCUGUACAGAGCUGCUGUCGGGGUGGAGGUGGACGUGUGACGAGAGGCGGAACAACCUCUGUGGUGGACUUGAAGAAAUCACACCAGGAGUGAGGUCCUGCAGUUUUACGCGCAGGAUGGUGAAGGUGGACAGAUGUUCACAUCGUGCCUCCACGUGCUGACAUUGACAGGGACUCCGUUAAGAUUGUUUCCAGCAGACGCUAUCACAGAAGACAGAAGAAUUCACCGAUGUGGCGGUAAAACAAUGAAGCAGAGAAGCACUCAGUGCACUGGUGCAGAACACUGGAGGUGACGUAAGAGUGGCUGCGAGCGUGGCGCUGGACUGUCAUUUGGGAUGGACUCGUGUGUGACUCACUUUGCUCUGCCAACAGCCACAGCUGACAAGAUGCACAUCUGAUAAUAAUUAGAAAUAAGUGAAUUGAAGGUUGUUGUUGUUGUUGUUGUUUUUCCAGGUCUUAAAAAUCCUAUACUUUUGUUGGAAAAAAACAAACAAAAAAAACAAAAAACAAAGUGAAAUCCACUCGUGGACUAUGCUGUAAACGGUGUAAUGUUUUAAAGAAGCAGUUUAAAGUCCAGCAGUGAGCGUUAGUGCCCAGCCUGAGAUAAGACUUUUGCUCACAAACAAUAAUAAUAAUAAUAAUAAUAAUAAUAAUAAAAAGAUAAGAGUUGCUGAAAUGUUCUUUAAUAAUUACAUGUCAGCUUUGAAGCAGUGCUACCACCAUCUAGUGUUGGAAGAUGUUUAAGCAGUUUUAUUCAGGAGUGACAGUGACUCAGUUACAGACCUUAUGUUUUAUUCUUGUAAAAGUGACAACAUAAGGUUUGACUCGCUGACAAAAUAAGUAAAAAGUAGAGUAAAUUGAAAAAAAAUGGAAGUGAAUAUAUUGACCCUAACUGACUAAAGGUAAUGCAUAUGGUGAAUUAUGAUGUUAUUUCCCAACUUCCUAAUUUCCAAAUCUAAUAAGGAUCUAAUGAAUCGAAAAAGAAAAAGAAUAAGAUACGUUCUACAUGCAAAUGAAUGUUUUUCAUUCAGAAACACGGUGGGUUUUCAUUUGAAUUAUUGUAGUGAUACCAAUCGAGCUGCACAGAACUGCGAGACAUGUCGCAGGUAAUUGUUAUAAUCAAUUGUAAUAAUUCAACAGUUUCAUGAAAUGACUGAAGGAAGACACUGAAAAUAAAAACUGAAAUAAUAAAUUCUGAUUUAUAAUUGA